rnacentral:tRNA from 1 species
GCCUUAAAAGCUCAGAGUAGAGCGCCAGGUCUUGUAAACCAGGAGGGAGGGUUAAAGUCCCUAUUGAGGCU